GGGGUUGCAGCUCAGUGGUAGAGCACUUACUUGCUUAGCAAGUGUGAGGCACUGGGUUCGAUCCUCAGCACCACA
rnacentral:tRNA from 1 species